CGGCGGCCCCACGGCCCCACGGCAGGUGCCAUCCAGGGCCGCCUUCGGUGUCGCCUUGCCCCGGCGCUUUCCCUCAGGCAGGGAGGGUGUGGGGAGUCGGAUAGGAGCAGCUGAUGCAGGCGUGUGGAAACUCAGUCAUUCUGGGGUAGGCAGCGUGUCCCCUUCCCAAACGCUGUUAUUUGCACAGGACAGGAGUCCUGUAUCGUACAGGAGGAAGAGGGGACAUGGAGGCUUCCAAAGGCAGCACUGGUUAGUCAGCAGUAGCUCUCUAAAUAUUUUACGUGAGACUGAAGAGUGCAACUGCUUUUCCACUUACCACUGCUGUUAUAAGGCAUUAGUGAGGAACGGAGAGGUGUAGAGGUAUGUCUAACUCCCAAGAGAAUUUCUGCCUGCUCCCUUUUCAGCUGUAUGGAUUGUUGCUUGGAGGCCCUUAUAUGUUUACUAACUCAGAUGCUCUCCCGUUCAGCUUCAGAAAAAGAUGCACAGUAUCUGCAUCUUUUCUUUGGCAAAGUCCUAGGAGCACAGCUGAUAACACAAAAAUCUUGGAACUGAGCAUCUGCUAUUUGAGAUGCAGGCAUGCAGCAUGGGACACAGAAGUACUUUGCCUCUUCUUAUUUUAUGGCUUGGUUCCAUGAACUGCUGAGAGAAGACAAACCUUGCUUGCUGUUAAAGAAACAGGAAUCUGAAUGGGUGGAAAACCUACUGUCAUCAACACGGUGCUUCCUCUGCUGAUGGAGAGCACCCAUAUUCAGGUCUUGGUCCUGACUUGCUGGGAAUGUGUGUUGGACACCUCAGAUAAAAGGAUUUAUCAUGAAGGAACACUACAGUGUGAGCAGCUGGAGUGGAUAGCUUAAUUCACAGAACAUGGAGGCUUCAUCAACAACAUGAAUUUAGGAAUCUUUGGAGAGACUAAUUUGGCUGAACUGAGGACUAGACUUUAGGAUGCAGAGGAACCUGCAAUGUCCGAAGGAGGAAACUGGUUGUUCCUUGCAACAGAUUGUUCUCCCGCAUUCAAGUCCUAUCCCCAUUAAGCUGAAGAAUCCUUGAGUCACCCAAAAACUAAAGAAAAGAAAAAUCCCAAACAUCUGAGAAAGAAGAGGACACAGACUGUCCUUGGGUCUAGAAGGCUUAUACAUGUUUGUAUAAGUGCAUAUACGUGUUUGACUGAGAAGUGAAAGAUGUGGCUGUUGAUGAUUAGAGAAAGCCUUUGAGACAUACAAAAACAGUAGUUUAGUCAACAAUUAAGAGAGAUUGCAUGCCUGGAAAAAAGAUCCACUCCCACAGGUUGAUGAGGUUUGUCUUUGUAUUUGACUCCUCCCUACCUUGUGUUGGUUACUCAUGGGAAUAUUAACAAGGUCAGAUAUGUGACAUGCCAUAGGCAAACUGAAACAAAUUAAGUGUACUGAGAAGUACUCAGCUUUUUGUUUUUGUUUUUGUUUUUUCCUACUAUGUAAAUAUGUUGCUACACUGACAAUAGCAAUAAUGUUAAUAACUUCCUUCUAUUUCAAGCAAUCCCCAUCAGAUCCUCCAGUUCCAGUAUUGGGGGUUUUGAAGUCUUUAAAAGGUUGUCCUCUGACCUACAAUGCAUUCUGCAGAGCUGAUAAAGAAAAGGCUGUAUGCUGCUCAUAUUACAAACACUUCCAAGCAGUUGAGUAAUUGCAUAUUAUAUGUGUAUGAAAAAAACAAGGUGGUCACUAUGGUGUUUUGAACUCUAACUGCAUUUUUUUCAGAGGAAGAGAGUUCUACAUUCUCAGAAAGACUUGCUAUUUGCACUAUGGUCUCUGCUCUCUAAGUGCUUCAUAAAACGAUUGCCUCAACCCACCAGUAAUGGAUUAUAGAUUAAGCAGAAACGAAAGGGCACAGGAUUGUUCUUUCAUGUUGUCUCCCAAUUUAUUUUUCUUAAGCAAUAGAUAAUAAUUGACAGAAGCAAUUGAAGAGUCACAGUUUGAUCUGCCUUUUUUAACUAGGAGGCUGCACUAGGUUGUCUUUAUGUUAUUUUUUGUUAGGGGAGGCGGUUCUGUGAUCAUUUGUGGUUUGGAGCAGAGUCAUUAGGUUCUUACUGACAUUCCAGUGGACAAUUGCAAGCUGGUCCCACUGCAGUUCUCUGUAGUCCUGCUCUUGGAAUGGAUUUCAAUAGGCAGCACUUCUGAGGUGGGGCAAAGUGACUUUAAACCUCAGAGUUUUAAAUUUGAUGUUCUGUUUGAUUUUAUUUUUUUAUAUUUUUUUACCUUUAGCAUUCAUAUGACAAAAUGGGAAAAAUAUCUUUUGUCAGUGUGACCUAUCUUGGGAACAUUUAAAAAGCUCCAAAUCCAUGCAUAAAACAUCUGAGAAGUUUUCCAUUAAAGCAGGGAAGAAGGCUCUUAAUGUUGCUAAUAUUUAUUAUCAGCAGGGGAACGGGAAAAAAAGCACGUUUGAAAAAUUCAAUUCAGCAUUUCUUAAGCCUCCCUCAUGCAUAUUAUAGAUUUUUCUUUUCUUAAAGUAUGAAUGAAGUAGGGAAUUAAUGAAGUCAGUGAAAAUGUUCGAUGUUGGAGGCUCUUCAAAUUUCAGAGGAAGAAAGCCAGGCUGUGUUUAUGUUGGUACUCUUAGUGCUCGUGAAAAAAAAUCAGUAAUUGUGGCACUAGGAAUAACUGCUUCUGCUUGUCCCCUUCUUGAGCUUUGCUAGUCUUGCUAUUAUCUCUCUAUUCCUAUGCAUCCUUGUGUUUUUAUUCCAUGAUUCUUCACUCCCUCAUGAAGUAUUUCUCAGCCCUUCACAGUGGUAAAAUUGGAAGGAACAUUGGAUUCAAAAGGAAUUUUUUGGGUCAUGUGUUGGCGGAUGAGAAACUCAACAUGACCUGGCAAUCAUUUGCAUCCGAGAAGGCCAACAGCUUCCUGGACAGCACCAAAAGGAUUGUGGCUAGCAGGGAAGAGAGAUGGUUCUCCCCCUCUACUUCGUCCUUGUGAGACCCCACCUGGAGUACUGUGUCCAGCUCUGAGGUCCUCGGCACAGGAAAGAUGUGGUCCUGUUGGAGUGGGUCCAGAAAAAGGCCAUGAAGAUGAUCAGAGGGCUGGAGCACUUCUGUGAAGGCAGGCUGAGAGAGAUGAAGUUGUUCAUCCUGCGGAAGAGAAGGGUCUAGGGAGACCUUACAGCAGCCUUUCAGUACUUAAAUGGGGGCUACUUAAAGAGAGCUGGAGAGGGACUUUUUACAAAGGCUGGUAGUGGUAGGACAAGGGGAAAUUGGCUUUAAACUGAAAGAGGGUUGAUUCAGAGAUUUUAGUAAAGUUGUGGAUGUCCCAUCCCUGAAAGUGUUCAAGGCCAGGUUGGAUGGGACUUUGGGCAACCUGGUCCAGUGAAAGGUGCCCCUGCCCAUGGCAGGAGGGUUGAAACGGGAUGAUUUUCAAGGUCCCUUCCAACCCAGGCCAUUCUAGGAUUCUAUGAUAAUUUGAUUUAACUUCUUCCCUUAAACUUUGAUUUAACUUCUUCCCAAUUAAAAUGUAUUUCAAUUCA